UGGGGAAUCUUCCGCAAUGGACGAAAGUCUGACGGAGCAACGCCGCGUGAGUGAAGAAGGUUUUCGGAUCGUAAAACUCUGUCUUUUGGGGCGAACGUGAGUAUGGUGAACAAUCAUAGUCAGUGACGGUACCAAAGGAGGAAGCCACGGCUAACUACGUGCCAGCAGCCGCGGUAAUACGUAGGUGGCAAGCGUUGUCCGGAAUUAUUGGGCGUAAAGAGCGCGUAGGCGGGAUAGUCAGUCUGUUGUAAAAGUGCGGGGCUCAACCCCGUGAUCGCAAUGGAAACAGCUAUUCUUGAGUGCAGGAGAGGAAAGUGGAAUUCCCAGUGUAGCGGUGAAAUGCGUAGAUAUUGGGAGGAACACCAGUGGCGAAGGCGACUUUCUGGACUGUGUCUGACGCUGAGGCGCGAAAGCCAGGGGAGCGAACGGG
rnacentral:rRNA from 2 species